rnacentral:rRNA from 1 species
AUGAACGCUGGCGGCGUGCCUAAUACAUGCAAGUCGAGCGAACAGAUAAGGAGCUUGCUCCUUUGACGUUAGCGGCGGACGGGUGAGUAACACGUGGAUAACCUACCUAUAAGACUGGGAUAACUUCGGGAAACCGGAGCUAAUACCGGAUAACAUAUUGAACCGCAUGGUUCAAUAGUGAAAGGCGGCUUUGCUGUCACUUAUAGAUGGAUCCGCGCCGUAUUAGCUAGUUGGUAAGGUAACGGCUUACCAAGGCAACGAUACGUAGCCGACCUGAGAGGGUGAUCGGCCACACUGGAACUGAGACACAGUCCAGACUCCUACGGGAGGCAGCAGUAGGGAAUCUUCCGCAAUGGGCGAAAGCCUGACGGAGCAACGCCGCGUGAGUGAUGAAGGUCUUCGGAUCGUAAAACUCUGUUAUCAGGGAAGAACAAAUGUGUAAGUAACUGUGCACAUCUUGACGGUACCUGAUCAGAAAGCCACGGCUAACUACGUG